rnacentral:rRNA from 1 species
UGGGGAAUAUUGGACAAUGGGGGAAACCCUGAUCCAGCCAUGCCGCGUGAGUGAGGAAGGCCCUAGGGUUGUAAAGCUCUUUCACCCGUGACGAUGAUGACGGUAGCGGGAGAAGAAGCCCCGGCUAACUCCGUGCCAGCAGCCGCGGUAAGACGGAGGGGGCUAGCGUUGUUCGGAAUUACUGGGCGUAAAGCGCGCGUAGGCGGCCGGUCAAGUUAGGCGUGAAAGGCCUGGGCUCAACCUGGGAACGGCGCUUAAGACUGAUCGGCUGGAGUCCGGGAGAGGGUGGUGGAAUUCCCAGUGUAGAGGUGAAAUUCGUAGAUAUUGGGAGGAACACCAGUGGCGAAGGCGGCCACCUGGCCCGGCACUGACGCUGAGGCGCGAAAGCGUGGGGAGCAAACAGG